UAUGGCCACACUAUGUUGAAACACUGGUUUCCAUAUGAUCACUGAAGUUAAGCUGCAUCGAACCUGGUCAGUACCUAGAUGGGUGACCACUUAGGAGUACCAGGUGCUGUAAG